ACGCUCGACACCUACUGGGAGGCAGCAGUGGGGAAUAUUGCACAAUGGGGGAAACCCUGAUGCAGCGACGCCGCGUGAGCGAAGAAGUAUUUCGGUAUGUAAAGCUCUAUCAGCAGGGAAGAAACUGACGGUACCUGACUAAGAAGCACCGGCUAAAUACGUGCCAGCAGCCGCGGUAAUCUGAGCGGGCUGGCAAGGC
rnacentral:rRNA from 1 species